CACACAGUAUAGGCAGUGCCAGUCUCCCCCUCACACAGUAUAGACAGUGCCAGCCUCUCCCUCACACAGUAUAGGCAGUGCCAGUCUCCCCCUCACACACAGUAUAGGCAGUGCCAGUCACCCCCUCACACACAGUAUAGGCAGUGCCAGUCGCCCCCUCACACACAGUAUAGGCAGUGCCAGUCUCUCCCUCACACACAGUAUAGGCAGUGCCAGUCGCCCCCUCACACACAGUAUAGGCAGUGCCAGUCUCUCCCUCACACACAGUAUAGGCAGUGCCAGUCUCUCUCUCACACACAGUAUAGGCAGUGCCAGUCGCCCCCUCACACACAG